CCCUCUCAAACUCCCCUGCCCUCUAUCCAACCCCCCACUCCUUGCCCUUACCACGCUGCCUGGAGCACCAGUGUCUGGUGGCACUCUAGCCGCACCGCCCAGAGCACCAAGUCAGGCCGCGAUUCUGCAGUUGUGCUGUCCAGAUUAUUGCGCCGGCCACACAGUGAGCUGAGGCUGCAGGGGAGGAGCGAAGGGGGCGAGCCCCCCGAGCCAGAAGCUCAGGGUCCAGGCAGGAGGGUCCCACCGGCUGGAUGUGGCCCGUAGGCCGUAGUUUGCCCACCUCUGGCCUAGAAAGUGUUAGCGUUCCCACAAGAUCUCUUCCACUUGGUUCCUCAAGAACUCUGUUCGAUUCUUGUCUUAGCACUCGGAUUCUUUUAUCUGGCAUACAGCAAAGCUACACUGUGUUGAUUAGAUUCAAGUGUAGAGAGUGAGUAUAGAGCGUACCACACAGCCAAAGUUACACAGCAAAACUUUACCUUAUAUCCAUUUUUACUAACACUAAUAACACAUGCAUUCUUAACCAUACUUUGAAUCAGAUGCUUCAUGAUUGGCUUGGUUAUUUUUUAGGAACCAAUCCCUGGAUGGCAUGCUCUGUCCAUGUAUAACGUGAUUUUUACGUUUCAGGUUUAUCUUGUCCGUUGACGCUAGCUCCAGGGUGUUCCUGCUUAUCUUAGCUAGCAACAGACAUCCUGACUCCAGCAUACUGCUUGUUAAGCCACUAUUAACAACUUAACCUUUCAUACAAUGCAGACCAAGAAAUGAGGUCUUACUUAUGUCAAGUUACUUAUGCCCAGCCAGGCCUACAGAAAAUUGCCUUAUAAGAGCAGCUAAGGGAAAUCCCCAUCUAUAAUCGGACUCCCCCACCAUAGGGAAUUAGGUACAGUGCUCCUGUCAGCUAAUUUCUAAGUUAUUGUUUGCAAAAGAACUCUAUAGAGUUUUCACGUCUCCAUGCCCCUGGAAUCACAGUUAAAGUCCCUCCUCCCAAAAAAUCUGAAACUGCACUCCUGAAGUUGGACCUUUUGACAUCUGGGAAAGUGUGGAAAGACAGUUUAAAUUUAACCUAAUCACAAGAUCUUCCCUUAUCUCUGUCUACCAUAUGGUAGUCAUGGACAGCAGCCAAAAGUCUGUCUUCAUCAGAUCAUUUAUUAUGUCAAAGAACAAAGUGGCAUUAAGGCAACUCAUCUUCUAUUAUUCAAAACAUAUUCAAAAUGCCACUAGUACCAUGCAGCUCAGCCCAUCUGUGCAAAACAACAUUACAAGCUGCCUACCCAGUGUGCUGCUAGCUGACCAAAGUAGCUCACCAGGUAUCUCAUUAACCUCUGGUUUGAGUACAGCAGGGAGUGUGAUUUUUUAGGAGAAGCAGCCAAAAUCUGCACUAGUAUGAGACCACCUUGAAGAGACUGGUCGAGGUGGGGAUCAGUUGGACUGGUAUUCAGUGCAGGGGGCACAUCGAAUGUAUAAAAACCCUCUGUCACAAGGCAAUAGCAGUGUGCUAUAUCUGUUCUGCUGAGAAACAAGGGACUUCAGUCUCCAGGACUGUGAAUGUGAAGCCUUCCACAAGCAGUGAAUCCACAUGCAAAUUGUAAAAAAGUAAAAGUUUUCAUUUCAAUUUUGAAGAUUAUUCCAGGGAUGCAGAGUAGCUGCAGGGGACUUCUGGACAAAUAAGUUCAGCCUGAGGCAGAAUGAACUUUUUCUGCUGAUUCCUUGUGCAGUUCAUGGGGGAAUGAUGGGAUCCCUCAGCAUUUCCCACCUGUUCCCUUUCAUACACUCAGUGGUUCUGGGCUGCUGCCUUCUUUCUGCACAGAAAGGGUGAUAUCUGCAUAGAGGAUCAUCUCUACUAAUGGAUCUCCAGGGCACUGUAUGGCCUCAAGUUAAGGAUCUCAGUAUUUGUUCCUGAGAUUGUAUGCUUUGGGGGGACAUGACUGUAUCUGUCAUUUGUAAAUAAAGCACAGUGCACACUUAUGGUGUCAUAAAAAUGAUGUAAUAAUAAUAAAUAAUAAAUGAAA